CUUUUCUAUUUAUUUACUUUUAUUUACCCCUAUUGAAUCAAUCUAACAAGCUAAUUAUCUAUCUAUCUAUCUAUCUAUCUAUCUAUCUAUCUAUCUAUCUAUCUAUCUAUCUAUCCAAUCAUGUAUCAUGUACUUAUAUAAUGCUGUGCUUCAUAAUAAAUUUACUUGGGGUAAGUUAUCAGUGGGUGCAAGAUUUUCUGCCAUAAAUAUUUUAUCUACAUGUCCUUACCACAUCACUCUUUCAUUUUAGUUAUUACCACUGAAAAAUGACCUGCUCCUAUAGUCAAAUAUAGUUAAAGUGUGCUUAUGUAUUUAUUUUUAAUUUUUAUUAGAUGUACUUUUUUACUUACAUUUCAAACGUUAUUUCACUUCUUAGUU
rnacentral:lncRNA from 1 species